AAACUGCAGAUGGCUCAUUAAAUCAGUUAUAAUUUAUUUGAUGAUUACUUACUACGUGGAUAACUGUAGUAAUUCUAGAGCUAAUACAUGCGUCGAGUCCUGACUCUUGCGGGGAGGGAUGUAUUUAUUAGACAAAAAACCAAUGCGAUUCUUUCGGGAGUCGGUUCCUUGGUGAAUCAUAAUAACUUUUCGGAUCGCACAGCCUUGAGCUGGCGACAUUUCAUUCAAAUUUCUGCCCUAUCAGCUUUCGACGGUAGUGUAGUGGACUACCGUGGCAUUUACGGGUGACGGAGAAUUAGGGUUCGAUUCCGGAGAGGCAGCCUGAGAAACGGCUACCACAUCCAAGGAAGGCAGCAGGCGCGCAAAUUACCCAAUCCUGACACAGGGAGGUAGUGACAAGAAAUAACAAUACCGGGCCUUUUUGGGUCUGGUAAUUGGAAUGAGUACAAUUUAAAUCCCUUAACGAGGAUCUAUUGGAGGGCAAGUCUGGUGCCAGCAGCCGCGGUAAUUCCAGCUCCAAAAGCGUAUAUUAAAGUUGUUGCAGUUAAAAAGCUCGUAGUUGGAUUUCUGGUACGAUGUGCCUGGUCCGCCCCGUUUCGGUGUGCGAGUACCGGUUUCGCGCAUCUGCCAUCCUCGCGAACGUGAGGAUCUACCCUUGAUUGGGCCAGGUCACUCGGUUUGCGUCGUUUACUUUGAAAAAAUUAGAGUGUUCAAAGCAGGCUGUUAAUCGCUUCUGAAUACAUUAGCAUGGAAUAAUAAGAUAGGACUUUGGUUCUAUUUUGUUGGUUUCUAGGACUGAAGUAAUGAUUGAUAGGGAUAGUUGGGGGGUGCUAGCAUUCAACGGCCAGAGGUGAAAUUCUUGGAUUCGUUGAAGACUAACUUAUGCGAAAGCAUUCACCAAGGAUGUCUUCUUUAAUCAAGAACGAAAGUUGGGGGAUCGAAGACGAUCAGAUACCGUCGUAGUCUCAACCAUAAACUAUGCCGACUAGGGAUCAGUGGACGUUGUAAUUUAAAAUCGACUCCAUUGGCACCUUACGAGAAAUCAAAGUGUUUGGGUUCCGGGGGGAGUAUGGUCGCAAGGCUGAAACUUAAAGGAAUUGACGGAAGGGCACCACCAGGCGUGGAGCUUGCGGCUUAAUUUGACUCAACACGGGAAAA
rnacentral:rRNA from 1 species